rnacentral:rRNA from 1 species
GACGAACGCUGGCGGCGUGCCUAACACAUGCAAGUCGAACGGGACCAGAUGUCAGACAGCGGACAUCAGAAGACAGAUUACAGAUGGCAGAAUACAGAUUCAGAAGAGGGCGUGGAGGAAACCAAGCCUAGAUUCUAAUAUCCUAAGUCUGAGCAUUAGUAUCUGAACUCUGGUAUCUGGCGUCUGAUGUCUGGUCUAGUGGCGGACGGGUGAGUAACGCGUGAGCAACCUGCCUUACAGAGGGGGAUAACAUUCGGAAACAAAUGCUAAUACCGCAUAACAUAUAUUUACGGCAUCGUAGAUAUAUCAAAGGAGCAAUCCGCUGUAAGAUGGGCUCGCGUCCGAUUAGAUAGUUGGUGAGGUAAUGGCUCACCAAGUCUGCGAUCGGUAGCCGGACUGAGAGGUUGAACGGCCACAUUGGGACUGAGACACGGCCCAGACUCCUACGGGAGGCAGCAGUGGGG